rnacentral:rRNA from 1 species
ACGCACGCUGGCGGCGUGCUUCACACAUGCAAGUCGAACGGAAAGGCCCUGCUUGCAGGGUACUCGAGUGGCGAACGGGUGAGUAACACGUGGGUGAUCUGCCCUGCACUUCGGGAUAAGCCUGGGAAACUGGGUCUAAUACCGGAUAGGAGCCAUUUUUAGUGUGAUGGUUGGAAAGUUUUUUCGGUGUAGGAUGAGCUCGCGGCCUAUCAGCUUGUUGGUGGGGUAAUGGCCUACCAAGGCGGCGACGGGUAGCCGGCCUGAGAGGGUGGACGGCCACAUUGGGACUGAGAUACGGCCCAGACUCCUACGGGAGGCAGCAGUGGGGAAUAUUGCACAAUGGGCGCAAGCCUGAUGCAGCGACGCCGCGUGGGGGAGGACGGCCUUCGGGUUGUAAACGCCUUUCGCUAGGGACGAAGCUUUUUGUGACGGUACCUAGAUAAGAAGCACCGGCUAACUACGUG